rnacentral:tRNA from 1 species
GCGGGAAUAGUUCAGUGGUAGAACACCACCUUGCCAAGGUGGGGGUCGAGAGUUCGAAUCUCUUUUCCCGCUC